rnacentral:rRNA from 1 species
CCUACGGGAGGCAGCAGUGAGGAAUAUUGGUCAAUGGACGAGAGUCUGAACCAGCCAAGUAGCGUGAAGGAUGACUGCCCUAUGGGUUGUAAACUUCUUUUAUAUGGGAAUAAAAUGUUCCACGUGUGGGAUUUUGUAUGUACCAUAUGAAUAAGGAUCGGCUAACUCCGUGCCAGCAGCCGCGGUAAUACGGAGGAUCCGAGCGUUAUCCGGAUUUAUUGGGUUUAAAGGGAGCGUAGGUGGAUUGUUAAGUCAGUUGUGAAAGUUUGCGGCUCAACCGUAAAAUUGCAGUUGAAACUGGCAGUCUUGAGUACACUAGAGGUGGGCGGAAUUCGUGGUGUAGCGGUGAAAUGCUUAGAUAUCACGAAGAACUCCGAUUGCGAAGGCAGUUCACUGGACUGCAACUGACACUGAGGCUCGAAAGUGUGGGUAUCAAACAGGAUUAGAUACCCCUGUAGUC